UACGUAGGUGGCAAGCGUUGUCCGGAUUUACUGGGCGUAAAGAGCGCGCAGGCGGUCGUUCAAGUCGCGUGUGAAAGCCCCCGGCUCAACUGGGGAGGGUCAUUCGAUACUGUUCGACUCGAAGGCAGGAGAGGGAAGUGGAAUUCCAGGUGUAGCGGUGAAAUGCGUAGAUAUCUGGAGGAACACCGGUGGCGAAGGCGGCAUCCUGGACCGGCAUUGACGCUGAGGCGCGAAAGCUAAGGG
rnacentral:rRNA from 1 species